rnacentral:rRNA from 1 species
AGUGAACGCUGGCGGUAUGCCUAACACAUGCAAGUCGAACGGCAGCACAUUAUUCCCUUGCCCUUACGGGUGGCGAGUCGCGGACGGCUGCGGUAUACUUCGGAAUCUCCUCUUUCGUGGGGGUCUACGUAGCCAUACUUACGCUAAUACCGCAUACGACCUACCCGUGAAAGCACUCGCUCUUCUGUCCUUGCGCGAUUGAAUGAGCCGUUGCCGUAUUAGUUAGGUGGCGGGGUAACGGCCCACCAAGGCGACGAUCCGUAGCUGGUCUGAGAGGAUGAUCAGACACACUGGAACUGAGACACGGUCCAGACUCCGACGGGAGGCAGCAGUGGGGAAUAUUGGACAAUGGGCGCAAGCAUGAUCCAGCAAUACCGCGUGGGUGAAGAAGGCAUUCGGGUUGGAAAGCACUUUUGUUGGGAAAGAAAAGCAGCAGGUUAAGAACAAGCUGUAAUGACGGUACCCAAAGAAUAAGCACCGGCUAACUUCGUG